rnacentral:lncRNA from 1 species
CCUCCUCGUUCCGCUGGACUCCUGAGGCAGAGGCAGCUUUCCUGGAACUCAAGCAUCACUUCACUUCCGCUCUGAUCCUCACUCAGCCAGACCCAGAACUCCAGUUCAUCGUGGAGGUGGAUGCCUCCGACACCGGGUUCUGUCCCCUCUGACUCUGGUCCCUGUCUCCAGUCCCAUGUCUCGUCAGUCCUGCUACCCUGUCCUGGACCCCCCACUCUACUGCUUCCUUGGAUUCCUCUCCGGACCUGCUUACCCAGCCCCAUCUCCCCUCGCUCUAGCCUCAGUACCUGGCUCCCUGCAACCCGACCGAGCUUUCCCUGCCUGCGCCUCAUCUUCACCCUGUUUUUCAAUAAAUACAAUACACCUUAUCCUGGUCUUAUUCUGGUCUGGUCUUGGGUUCACCUGCUCCGCUCCGCAUAACACUAGGAAAGCUGUUCUCAUGGAUAUCAUGGUUCAGAUAGAUGCUAUCAGGUUACAGGUCAUGACAGGUACGCUGUUGUGGAAUGAAACUGUUCCCCCAAUAAAACCUAGAAACUUCCUGCCAUCUCUUAACUUUCCUCUCUGCUCUGCUGUUCAAAGGUCUCAGAGUAAACAUUUUUCAGCAUUAAAGAUGAAGAUCAGGACCACAUGGGGCCUGGCUACGUAGUGGAGCACCGUUCAUGCCAUGCCUCAAUUCUCCCACCCUGCCUCCUCAAAAUCAUCUCCUCUUUCAGACGGCCAG